UCCGAUCGCUCCCUCUCUCUCCACCGUGACGUGAGCAGCCUUGGCGGCUAUUUAUAACCACACGAUUGGAUUUCAUUCAUGAAACCAGGGCCUUGUGUGUCUGAACUGUGGGACGCGAGGUGGCGAAGGUGCCGCGGCUGCACGCACACCGGAGGGGCCUGGGCUCCAGGGCGCUUGGUUGGGACCAGCGUGUGUCCCGCAUCCUGGGGAUCCGGCCUUGGGCCAAGCGGAGAACAGAGCAGGGCAGGGUGUGUGCGAGCUGUCCCGCGCCCCCUCCCCGCAGCAUCCCACCCACUCCCGAACAUCCGCUGGCCCUCAAUCCUGGGCUCAGGAAAAGUCGGCAGGAAAUCUUGGAAAGGAAAACCAACUAGCUCUUCUCGGGGACAUUGUGGACUUUCAAGGCCAUUGUCAGUUCUGGGGGCAGAGUCAUGGCUACUCUUCACGGAUCUGCAUAAGAACUGCCUAGGUGCCUAAGGGUGUCUGGCUCUGGCAUCUCGGCGAAGCUUAAGGAGGUGACAGGGGACGCAACUAACUUGGCUCCUGUCCGCAGGGAACUUUCAGUCCGCCUUCUCAACUGCCUGUUAGACUCAGCGGUGUAAUCCGCUCACUCUAGUCCUGCAACAGCUGGCGGAUUAGGGUGUGAAUGCCUUCAGCUAGGGACGUGUUACGUUUAUAAACUCUUCUAAAGGCUGGAAUCAUCAAGGCCAUAACCUUUUGAUACUAGCAUGAGGAGGAAGCAAGAAGUCAGAUUCCGCGGUCUGAGGAGUUUAAGGUGGAUCCGUGACUGUAAGUGGUCAUUUGCUUGGUUGGCAAGGGGCAAACUGUUUUAAAAGGACACCAUGUUGAAAGAAUCAAUAGACAUUCUUUUCAGGAAUGUAUCAGGGAAAGUUAAUUAACCCUGUUGUUUCUAGCUAGCUACUUCACUGCGAGUCACUUCUUUUUAAGCCACCUCGGGCACUGAGGAACAGAACAGUAACUAAGAAAAUGGGAACUUAGUAACUAAGAAAUAUUUAUUGUAGCCCCAAGUGCAGUGCGGGAAUGGAUUUCCUUUUCUUUCCUUUUAUUCUUAAAAUCUUUACACUGCCACAACUGAGGAGUGCCAUCAGAACCAUUUUACAGAUGGGGCAAAAAAAAGUUUACAUUGUUAGUAUUGUUAGUGGCUGGCAUUUGUGCCCCGGGGUCAUCUGGGACUGGUUUUAUCGCUAACCUUUGUUGUGACAUUUGGUCCCAUUCGGGUGGGAGUCUUUCACUCUCUCAGUCACACAUUUAAAAGACAAAUCUGGGGGUUGGGGAUUUAGCUCAGUGGUAGGGCGCUUGCCUAGAAAGCGCAAGGCCCUGGGUUCGGUCCCCAGCCCCCCC
rnacentral:lncRNA from 1 species